AACGAACGCUGGCGGCAUGCCUAACACAUGCAAGUCGAACGAGACCUUCGGGUCUAGUGGCGCACGGGUGCGUAACGCGUGGGAAUCUGCCCUCAGGUACGGAAUAACUCAGGGAAACUUGAGCUAAUACCGUAUAAUGACUUCGGUCCAAAGAUUUAUCGCCUGAGGAUGAGCCCGCGUAGGAUUAGCUUGUUGGUGAGGUAAAGGCUCACCAAGGCGACGAUCCUUAGCUGGUCUGAGAGGAUGAUCAGCCACACUGGGACUGAGACACGGCCCAGACUCCUACGGGAGGCAGCAGUGGGGAAUAUUGGACAAUGGGCGAAAGCCUGAUCCAGCAAUGCUGCGUGAGUGAUGAAGGCCUUAGGGUUGUAAAGCUCUUUUACCCGGGAUGAUAAUGACAGUACCGGGAGAAUAAGCUCCGGCUAACUCCGUGCCAGCAGCCGCUGUAC
rnacentral:rRNA from 1 species